rnacentral:rRNA from 1 species
UCGAGAAUCUUCCGCAAUGGGCGCAAGCCUGACGGAGCGACGCCGCGUGGAGGACGAAGGCCUUCGGGUUGUAAACUCCUGUCACGGGUUAUGAACGGCGCAGCGUGAACAAUGCUGCGAUUGACGUAGCCCGAGAGGAAGCACUGGCUAACUCUGUGCCAGCAGCCGCGGUAAUACAGAGAGUGCAAACGUUGUUCGGAAUCACUGGGCAUAAAGCGCACGUAGGCGGCGCCGCAAGUGCGGGGUGAAAUCCCACGGCUUACCCGUGGAACUGCCUGGUAGACUGUGGUGCUAGAGGAUGGUAGGGGAGAGCGGAACUCCUGGUGGAGCGGUGAAAUGCGUAGAGAUCAGGAGGAACAUCGGUGGCGAAGGCGGCUCUCUGGUCCAUUACUGACGCUGAGGUGCGAAAGCUAGGGGAGCAAACGGGAUUAGAUACCCCGGUAGUCCUAGCUGUAAACGAUGGGUACUAGCUUGGGGUCUCCCUGUGUGAUCCCAGGUGAAGCAAAUGUGAUAAGUACCCCGCCUGGGGAGUAUGGUCGCAAGGCUG